rnacentral:ncRNA from 1 species
UUCUUCGGGGCAGGGUGCGAUUCCCUACCGGCGGUAUAGUCCGCGACCCGCGAAAGCGGCUGAUUUGGUGACUUCCUGAUCGACAGAAACAGGGAAGAAUUCCAAAACCGACAGUAUAGUCUGGAUGAGAGAAGAA